UAGGACAUAUGAUAUAGUAUACUUUACUGCACAAAUGCAUUGGUGUGAUAUUUAGAAAUAUAAUUUCAUCCAAUAUUACGAGGGUUGUCCCAAAAGUAAUGCACAGCCCGCUCAAGCUGUCUUGCAAUGUGAUAUUAUCCGCUGAUUUUAGUAUCAGUUUGUAGCUUGAAGUCUAACGAACACGUGCGUUUUCAGUUUUAGUUGUUUUAGUAAAGUAUGAUGAUGAGUGAGAGCGAUAACGAAAGUGAGAACAAUUCGUCGGUUCACAUUUCUGUUUUUGAGCAACGCGCAUACAUUAAAAUCGAAACGAUUCGUGGUAAAACAGUGCCUGAAAUUCAUGCCUCGUAUGAGGACAUUGUAUUUGUAUUUAUCGAUUCCUUUUCUAACCAAUUUAUAAUAUAUUAAAUUGGCCUUGAAUAUGGGCUUCAACCUUUAACCCGAACGUCCUUGAAGUUUUUUCAUACGGCCGAGUAUUGUUAAACAGCGCAUCGCUUAGGCAUAGCGGCACGUCAAUGCGGGAAUUACGGAUCGGAAGAUCCGUGAUCUUAAAAACCGCUGUUUUAGAAGCGCGAAUCCGGUCGAAGGUGGCCUUGUCUGCCGCAUCGAUAGGUUUAAUAGAAUUCUUCAAAUCGAAGUUGACUAUCCUAGAUGCCUAAAUUUAAAAAUCCUUUUACGGAAUCCAAUUAUUUGGAAGUAACUACUGGAUUUGCAAACUUCUUCAAGUUCUGGGUAUUCCACACUUCCUACUGUUUCAUCAUGUUUAUUCUGCUCAAAUUAUUAAAAAUUGUUUGAAAAACAUGCGUUGUUUCGUUUUUUGAUNGGUUUUUUUUAGAAGUGGUUAAUAGAUUUCUUUAAAUCGAAGUUGAUUUUCCAUGUUGCCUUAAUCUAAACAUCCUUUAUGGAUAUCCAAUUAUUUAAGAGUAUUUCCUCAACCUAACGUCUUUAUUUUAAUCUGGUCAAAUAAUUAUGUGCAAAAUUUAGUUUCUUGCCACUAGAAUCAAUUUUGACCACAGGGUUUUAAAUUAUUCGCUUAUCUCGAGUGGCCUUACUAAAAAAAAAUUGUUAUUUGUCA